rnacentral:lncRNA from 1 species
CCGGCUUCUCGCCCUGAGCAGCUGCAGACUGAGGAGCUCCUCCCAUCCUGCAGAGUGCAGACAGACACUGUGGACGCUCGGGGCUCUGAACGCCUAAGAAAUCGCCUUGCACAAAUAAGUACACAAGCUUCUCCCCUGGUGGUUGACUUCAAGCUCUCUGAGUGACAUCAGUGAACACAUACUUGGAAAGAUAUGUGCAGCAGCAGCACAUAAUUAUGUACUAUUUCUGCCACACAAAUACAGUAAACUGACAGAACCCAGCCACCACAUUGUACCUUUCCCUACCCUAAAAUCAUCAAAGGCAGGUCUCCACCCCAGAGCCUGUGAGAAACUCCAGCACUCAGUCAACAGUCCAUGAGGACCUCAAUCCUGUCAAUAGUCUCUUAGGUCCUGUAACAAAAAAAAGAAGCAGAUCUGCUGAGAACAUGGGGCACCUAAACCUUGAGGAAAUCAGUCUGCCAAGGAGGAUGAAUAGGGGAUUACAUCCUGCUUGAGGAGCCCUUUUUUCAGUCCAUCACUGACGUGAGUGCCUGCACUGCGGUGAGCACAGCACUAGACAUGGAGGAUAAAUAUGAAGAAGACAUGGUCUCUGCCAUCAAAGUUGGCUGGAGGGAAACAGAAAUGAUGCCUAUACAGUACUUUGUUCAUAAAUACUAACUCUAGGCUAAUGAACAGUAGACUGGGGAUGGAGGCAUGUGGG